GCAUAAUGGGUUAACUAGCAUUGAAGGAUAAAAAUUCACGAAUUAGUUUGAGCUAAAUAUUGAUGGGUAUUAGAAUUAAAGAUUAAAUGUGGCAAAAUUUUGAUUAAGCAAUAUUUAGGGGUGAAAUGCCAACAAAAACUAGGAUAGCUUGAUAUCCUUUAAAAGUAUUCAGUACGUAAAUAGAUGUGCAGUGGUCAGGCUUCAUAUAAAUAUUAAUAGUUAUGGAAUAACGAAAUAAAGUUUAACAACUAAUUUAUUUUAUUAUAUAGUACAAAAAUAAUUACGAUUAUAUCUAUUAAGGGUUUGUAAAAUAAUUUUAAAACUUAUUAACAAUGUUACCAUAAGUAUUUUUGAAGUUCCUUACAAAGAACUCGGCAAGAACUUUCUCAACUGUUUAUCAAAAACAUAACUGUGAGAUUUUAUUCAUAGCUUUUUCUGCUCAGUGAUACUUAAACAGCCGCAGUACUCUGACUGUGCAAAGGUAGCAUAAUCAAUUGACUCAUAAUUAGAGCCCGGAAUGAAUGAAGGAAUGGGGAGGUACUGUUUCGUAAGGAAAGAUAGAAAUUAAUUAUCAAGUGAAAAUGCUUGAAAAGAAAUAAUAGACGAGAAGACCCUAGAAAUUUUUAUGAAGAUAUAAAGUUAAGUUUUUGUUGGGGCGACAGAAUAACAUAUAAAACUUAUUUAUAUAAAUUUGAAAUUUUUAAAUUGAUUAAUUAAAUUACUCUAGGGAUAACAGCAUAAUAUUAAAAAGUUUGUGACCUCGAUGUUGGACUAGGGAACCUAAGUUUAGAAGGCUAAUUUUGUUGCUCUGUUCGAGCAUAAACCCCUAC
rnacentral:rRNA from 1 species